UACUCUGGCAUUUGCCUGUCCGGCUGCCUGUCCGUGGACACGUAAGAAUUGGAGGAAAGGAGAUGUGAACUUAGAGAAGUCUGGAGCCAGCUUGUUCCCUGUAGGCUCAAGAUCACCCUUCCCACAUGG
rnacentral:snoRNA from 1 species